CACUCCUGCGGGAGGCAGCAGUGGGGAAUUUUGGACAAUGGGCGAAAGCCUGAUCCAGCAAUGCCGCGUGAGUGAAGAAGGCCUUCGGGUUGUAAAGCUCUUUUGUCAGGGAAGAAACGGUGAGAGCUAAUAUCUUUUGCUAAUGACGGUACCUGAAGAAUAAGCACCGGCUAACUACGUGCCAGCAGCCGCGGUAAUACGUAGGGUGCAAGCGUUAAUCGGAAUUACUGGGCGUAAAGCGUGCGCAGGCGGUUUUGUAAGUCUGAUGUGAAAUCCCCGGGCUCAACCUGGGAAUUGCAUUGGAGACUGCAAGGCUAGAAUCUGGCAGAGGGGGGUAGAAUUCCACGUGUAGCAGUGAAAUGCGUAGAUAUGUGGAGGAACACCGAUGGCGAAGGCAGCCCCCUGGGUCAAGAUUGACGCUCAUGCACGAAAGCGUGGGGAGCAAACAGGAUUAGAAACCCCUGUAGUCCCAUGAU
rnacentral:rRNA from 1 species